rnacentral:rRNA from 1 species
AGUCGAGGGGUACAUUGGUGCUUGCCCAGAUGACGACCGGCGCACGGGUGCGUAACGCGUAUAGAACCUACCUUUUACAGGGGAAUAGCCUUUAGAAAUGAAGAUUAAUGCCCCAUAGUAUUACGACUUGGCAUCAAGUUGUAUUUAAAGAUUUAUCGGUAAAAGAUGGCUAUGCGUCCUAUUAGUUAGUUGGUAAGGUAACGGCUUACCAAGACAUCGAUAGGUAGGGGUCCUGAGAGGGAGAUCCCCCACACUGGUACUGAGACACGGACCAGACUCCUACGGGAGGCAGCAGUGAGGAAUAUUGGACAAUGGAGGCAACUCUGAUCCAGCCAUGCCGCGUGCAGGAAGACGGCCCUAUGGGUUGUAAACUGCUUUUAUACAGGAAGAAACAUCCCGACGUGUCGGGACUUGACGGUACUGUAAGAAUAAGGACCGGCUAACUCCGUGCCAGCAGCCGCGGUAAUACGGAGGGUCCGAGCGUUAUCCGGAAUCAUUGGGUUUAAAGGGUCCGCAGGCGGUCAAUUAAGUCAGAGGUGAAAUCCCAUAGCUUAACUAUGGAACUGCCUUUGAUACUGGUUGACUUGAGUCAUAUGGAAGUAGAUAGAAUGUGUAGUGUAGCGGUGAAAUGCAUAGAUAUUACACAGAAUACCGAUUGCGAAGGCAGUCUACUACGUAUGUACUGACGCUCAUGGACGAAAGCGUGGGGAGCGAACAGGAUUAGAUACCCUGGUAGUCCACGCCGUAAACGAUGGAUACUAGUUGUUGGGAUUUAUCUCAGUGACUAAGCGAAAGUGAUAAGUAUCUCACCUNGGGAGUACGGUCGCAAGA